rnacentral:lncRNA from 1 species
UGAAGUGCCCCGUCGGCAUCAACACCGGCGAGCUCGUCAAGUCGAUCCGCGAGCGCGACCUGAAGAAGCAGUCCACGGCGACGUCGGGCGCCAACGCGCUCGCGAGGAACUUUGCCACGUUCCAGAGCGUCGUGCCCACGUUCCUGAACCUCGUGUCCGCCGCGCACGGCGUCCUCGGCGGCGGCGUGCUGAAGAGCGUCUCCGGCGCGUUGAACAAGGUUUCCGGGAACUUGAUCCCGGUGUGGAACGAGCACAUGCCCACGGGCGCGCCGUCGCUGCCGGCGCCGAACAUGCCGUCGUCGAGCGCGACGCAGCGCGCGGGGGUCCCUCGCAAGGUUGUCUACCUCCCAUCCUGCGUCACGAGGAUGAUGGGCCCGGCGAAGGGCGACUCUGCGUCCAUCGGCGGCGUCCCGGACGCGAUGAUGAGCAUCCUGAAAAAGGCGGAUUACGAGGUUGUGUACCCGGAGUCGCUCUCGUCGCAGUGCUGCGGCAUGCUCUUCAACUCCAGGGGGUUCAAAGCCACCGCCAGCGGCAAGGGCGAUGACCUCGAGGCGGCGCUCAUGAAAGCCUCCGAGGGCGGCAAGCUCCCGAUUGUCGUCGACACGUCCCCGUGCCUCGCGCAGAUCAAAGAGCAGCUGACGAACCCCGCGUUGCGGUUCGCGUUGUACGAGCCCGCGGAGUUCAUCGCGAACCACCUCGUGGACAAGCUCGAGUGGAAGAAGGUGAAGGACCACGUCGCGAUCCACGUCCCGUGCUCGUCCAAGAAGCUCGGCGUCGAGAACACGUUCAACAAGAUCGCGAAGAUGUGCGCGAAGGAGGUGACGCCGUCGGGGAUCCCGUGUUGCGGCAUGGCUGGGGACCGCGGGAUGCGUUUUCCGGAGCUCACCGGUUCGUCGUUGUCGUACCUGGACCUUCCCGAGGGAUGCAGCGACGGGUACAGCACGUCGAGGACGUGCGAGAUGUCGCUCUCGAACCACAGCGACGUCGCGUUUAGGGGGUUGGUGUACUUGGUCGACGAGGCGACGAGCGCGAAGAAGUGAAGUGAAGCGAGGCGAAGCGGAGACUUCGAAGACUUGACUGAUUUGAUUUGAUCGCGACGGCGU